GACCCAGGGGACAGAAGCAGCUGGGCCUGCGGCCAAAGCAGCAGCACUUUCCCCGCCCACUCCUCCUCCCCACUUACCGACCCCAGGUCUCUUACCUUCAUGGUGGGCGGCGCAGUGAGAGGAGGGGACAGCGGCCGGUCCGGAAGGGUCACGUCCGAGCUGUUGGCCAGCUCCUGCUUCCUGUGAAGAGGCCACAGAACACAGAAGAGGAGAAGGGGGCUGCGUGGAGACACACAGACACACAGGAGAAUGCCACGGGACAACGAGGGCAGAGGUUGGAGUGAUGCCGCUGGGAUGCCAAGAAACACCAAGGACUGCGGGCCACCACCAGAAGCUACAGGAGGCAAAGAAGGAUUCUUCUGGCCCGAAUCCUUCAGAAGGAGCACCUAACACCUUGAUUUUGGACUUUUAACCCUCAGAACCGAGACGGGCUGCACCCACAGUUGCCAGACUAGGGG